rnacentral:rRNA from 1 species
GAACGGAGUACUUCGGUACUUAGUGGCGGACGGGUGAGUAACGCGUGAGGAUCUGCCCUCAGGAGGGGGACAACGACUGGAAACGGUCGCUAAUACCCCAUAUGCCGAGAGGUGAAAUGUUUUUUCGCCUGAGGAUGAGCUCGCGUCAGAUUAGCUAGUUGGUGGGGUAACGGCCUACCAAGGCGACGAUCUGUAGCUGGUCUGAGAGGAUGAUCAGNCACACUGGGACUGAGACACGGCCCAGACUCCUACGGGAGGCAGCAGUGGGGAAUUUUCCGCAAUGGGCGAAAGCCUGACGGAGCAAGACCGCGUGAGGGAUGACGGGCUAAUGGUUGUUAACCUCUUUUCUCUGGGAAGAUAAUGACGGUACCAGAGGAAUAAGCCUCGGCUAAAUCCGUGCCAGCAGACGCGGUAAUACGGAGGAGGCAAGCGUUAUCCGGAAUUAUUGGGCGUAAAGCGUCCGUAGGUGGUUAAAUCAAGUCAGCUGUUUAAGAGCGGAGCUUAACUCCGUUAGAGCGGUUGAAACUGAUUGACUAGAGUUUGGU